AGUAUCUGUUCGUUCAAGUUGUUCAAUAACUUUUGCUUCUGGAUAAGGUUGUCAAAUGUUGCGGUUAAUUCUUCUGGAUCGAAAUCUAUAUCAUGCUUCGCUGCAUCUAUCUUUCGAAUGAGUUUGGUAACAGCACUUCUGUUCCCGGAUCGUAUCGACUUGAGCUUCUUUAAAUCCAUUGGUCACGGUACCAUAAAUGUGGAGGUUAAAAGUAUGAUAUUUUCGCUAAUAUAAACAAA
rnacentral:lncRNA from 1 species